UACAGAGGCCCCUAGCGUUGUUCGGAAUUAUUGGGCGUAAAGCGGGUGUAGGUGGCUUUGCAAGUCAGAUGUGAAAUCCCUGGGCUUAACCCAGGACGUGCGUCUGAUACUGCUUUGCUAGAGUGCGGUAGAGGGAACUGGAAUUCCUAGUGUAGGGGUGAAAUCCGUAGAUAUUAGGAGGAAUACCAAUGGUGAAGACAGGUUCCUGGUCCGUAACUGACACUCAGACCCGAAAGCGUGGGGAUCAAACAGG
rnacentral:rRNA from 1 species